CUCAUGCUGUGGACAGGGCUGCCACCCACCAGCUGAGGCUCCCCGCAGCUCAUCCAGCUGUGGCCUUGAACGCCUCCAGGGUUAGGGUAUCCAGAACUUCUCUGGGCAACCUGUUACAGUGCCUCACAGCCUUCUGAGUAAAGAAUUUCUUCCUUGAAUCUUCAAAUUUGGAGGUAAUCAUGAAUUUAAGCACAAGAAAAUUCUCAUGUAGAGAUGGAUCAUUAAAAAGUUUGGCUGAAGAUCUGGCCCGUAGCCAACAGUGCAUGGAUAAGAGGACUGAAGAGCUCUCUACAAUUCACAUCACUCACUCCAGCCGUGCAUCUAGACAGUUAAUCCAACUGAACGAUUGCAAGUGAUGCUUAUUAUUCGGCAGAUCUUGAUUUGCAAUGCACUGAGCCAUCUAUCUUUUGCUGCAGCUACAAGAAUAACGUGCUAUGGAAUCUAUCACAGCCCAACAAUUCCACAAUUGAUUUGCUGGCAGCUGAGCCCUGGGGCUUGGAAUGUAAAUAAGACUCAGAAUAAAAGUGACGUGCACUGCAGCAGUUGACAGUGAGUGCAGGUACUUCAUCAAUUGACCUGAUUUCUGGAAAAUGUGCUUGCAACCUUGAAACUUGUUUUGCAAUUACAAUCUUUGCAAUAAAAUAUUAG
ensembl:lncRNA